GCUAGUCCCCCGCCCUGCCCUGCCGAGCGCGCCCAGUCCGCGAAUCCGGUGCUUUCUUGCCCCAGGAAGAAGCCGUGUCGGGGCUGCGCUGACAGAGGAGCAGGCAGCAGAUGUAGUCUCGCUUCGUCACCCAAGCUGGAGUGCAGUGGUGUGAUCUCGGCUCACUGCAGCCUCUGCCUCCCAGAUUGAAGCGAUUCUCCUGCCUCUGCCUCCCAGAUGCAAGCGAUUCUCCUGCCUCAGCUUCCCAAAUAGCUGGGAUUACAGGUGCCUGCCACCACGCCUGGCUAAUUUUUGAAUUUUUAGUAGAGAAGGGGUUUCACUAUGUUGGCCAGGUGGCCUGAUGUCAGGUGAUCCACCUGCCUACGCCUCUGAAAGUGCUGGGAUUACAGGUGUGAGCCACCACACCCAGCCUUUGAAAACUUUUUAUUGGAAA
rnacentral:lncRNA from 10 species